UGUAAGCGUAUACCAAAGUUGUUGCAGUUAAAACGCUCGUAGUCGGAAUUUGGCAGUUCCGGAUGUGUGCACGUCGUGUGCGCACUUCGCGGGGAUUGCUUUUGUGGUCUUGCGUAGGAUGAGGCACUUUUAUUAGUGAACGGCCUCACGCAACCACUUUUUACUGUGAGAAAAUCAGAGUGCUCAAAGCAGGCAUUUGCCGUGAAUGUAUUAGCAUGGAAUAAUAGAAUAGGACUUGGUUCUAUUUUGUUGGUUUGUUGGGACUGAGUAAUGAUUAAGAGGGACAGUUGGGGGCAUUUGUAUUUCGGUGCUAGAGGUGAAAUUCUUAGAUUACCGAAAGACAAACUGCUGCGAAAGCGUCUGCCAAGGAUGUUUUCAUUGA
rnacentral:rRNA from 1 species